ACUCUUCAGCCUCCAUCUCCUAACCCAAUUCCCUCAUUCUUUGUUCUUUACCGCAACCCUCUUUCUCUCUCUCUCUCCAUUUUCGAUUUAAUCCAUCUCCGGUCCAUUUAACAGACAGAACACAGCAACCUGCUAGGCUGUAACCAGCAACCCAUCUCCGGUCUCCGAGCUCCGCCUCCAGCCUUUCAAGCCCCACCGGCCACUGCCGAACUCGGGGUUGAAGACUUGGAGCACUCCCGAGUCCCGAACACGGAACACAACGAGCAAGGCUAUAACCAGCAACCAGCAACCCGUCUCCUCCUGUCCGGUCUCCGAGCUCCGCCUCCAGGACACAGCUCUUCAAAUCACCUAAUGCUUCCCAUCCAGAGACACAAUGGAGGGAGAUUCACGAAAUGCUUCUCUUGUUAACAAUUAAAGCAGCGAGAGCCGGCACUAACAGCUGCGGUUGCAGAGAAGGCAAGAUCGCCAGGGCCAAGAAGGUCGUCAUUGGGGUUUUGUUCUUACAUUUUCGUGAAGCUUCACUUCCAUUUUCUCUUACAAAAAUAUUGAGUUUUGUUCUUCCUUUUCUGUAUGUUAUGUGAAACUUAUUACCUCUUAUCCUUUUCUGCUCUGUUCAUGGUAUGAAUUGUUCGAUUAUGAUCAUUGGAAAUCUUUUUUCCUGGCACCUAAAAGUGUUCCAUCCUCUUCUUCGUGUUGUUUGGUUUGUAUAACCUACUGCUUUCUGCACUUACUGAUUUUAUUAUUUAUUUACAUCCCUCAUAUAUACUAUAUAGUGUCCAAUACAGGUAAAGGAGUUUCAGUCUGGCAAAAGUUGUUAGAAUCUCAGAGUAGUUGCAUAUAUUCAAGAAGUUGGAAAGUCCAGGUUUUUAAACUCCUACAGGCAAGGGUUUGAGAGUUUUAAGGAUUUUGCCCCAAGAUGAGUUUCAAUGUUGCUGGCAAGCUGUUUAUUCUGCAGUGUGGUUGCUGCAGUGUUGUUGUUUAUGGAGUUACUGGGAUUCUCAACCAAAAAAUGGCUAACAACUGGGGUCUCGGCACAAUAUUGCUCACUCUUGUGGUUAAAAUUUGGUUGGACAUGAAUUGUACUUUGAACUGAUAUGUAAGCAGUACAUUGUAGUAGGAGACCUCUUUGUAGUUUUUUUUUUUUA